GUGAUAACACUCUCUGAAGGCUGGUUGUCUUGUUGGAAGGAGACACAAGGCUUGCAAUGUAAUUGGUAAAAGGCUGCGGCUCAUCCAAUGUCAAGAGAAUGGAACCUCCUUUCUUCUGAGGAUGGAUGAGGAUUUGGGAAGAACACUGAACUGACAGUGGACUCUGUGCUCUACAAGACACAAAAGAAGAAUAUAGUCCCUGAUAUGAUGAGCUUGUGAUCAGAAUAUGCUGUGGAAUU